CUCUUGACUGACUUUCUCUCUCUACCCUCUCUCUCUCCUCACCAUUUCUUCACUCUCUUCCACCAAAAUCUUCAUUGCCGUCAUGGAAACCGGCAGCCGGAGAACAAUACUAACAUCUUACACCAACUAAUUUUGAAAAAAAAUUGAAUCUUUUACUCCAUUCAAAUGGCGGCCACAAACACAACAACAUCAACUACACAACAACCGAUCGAACCAUCAGCCGAUGAUUUAUCAGCAAAAGCAGUCCACAAAAGAUUCGAAGGUUUAAUCAUGGUUCGAACAAGAGCCAUUAAAGGCAAAGGUGCUUGGUAUUGGGCUCAUCUAGAACCAAUUCUCAUCAAUAAUUCCGACACCGGUCUCGCCAAAGCCGUCAAAUUAAGAUGUUCACUUUGCUCCGCCGUCUUCUCCGCCUCCAAUCCAUCAAGAACCGCCACUGAACAUCUCAAAAGAGGAACAUGUCCCAAUUUCAAUUCCCCAUCAAACCCAAAUCCCAUUUCUUCUGUUUCACCUCCUUCCUCCUCUCAAAACCACCGCAAACGUCCCGCCGCCUCCGGCGGCGGCGGCCGUGCCUCUUAUCAUCAUGUUACUCCUCUAUCGAUUGUUGACCCAUCAAGAUUCUCAGUCGAACUAGCAUACCCACCAACACCGGCGGUUCAAAAUCAUCAGCAUUUGAUCUUAUCAGGUGGGAAAGAGGAUUUUAGUGCUUUAGCAAUGUUGGAAGAUAGUGUAAAGAAACUUAAAUCACCAAAAGCUUCACCUUCACCGGUUUUAACCAAAACCCAGAUUGAUACAUCUCUUGAUUUUCUCACCGAUUGGGUUUAUGAAUGUUGUGGGUCUGUUUCUUUAACCAGUCUAGACCAUCCAAAGUUCAAGUCUUUUCUAAACCAAGUCGGUUUACCAUCAUUAUCAAGACGUGACUUCAUCGGAGCAAGGUUAGAUUCAAAGUAUGAAGAAACAAAAGCUGAAUCAGAAGCUAAGAUUCGGGACGCCAUGUUUUUCCAAAUUUCAUCAAAUGGGUGGAAAUCAAAACAUCAAGGAGAAGAGAAUUUCAUCAAUUUAUCUGUAAAUCUACCGAAUGGAACUAGUGUGUUUCGUCGAGCUGUUUUCACAACUGGUUCGAUUCCUUCGAAAUAUGCAGAGGAAGUAUUAUGGGAUACGAUUAGAGGUGUCUGUGGGAAUUCUGUUCAACAAUGUGUGGGGAUUGUCUCCGACAGGUUUAAAUCAAAAGCAUUGAAGAAUUUAGAGAAUCAACAUCACUGGUUGGUUAAUCUUUCAUGUCAGUUUCAAGCAUUUAUCAGUUUGAUUAAAGAUUUCAUUAAAGAUUUCCCAUUACUAAACAAUUUGAUCGAUAAUUGUUUAAAACUAGCCAAGUUUGUAAACAACAAGACUCAGAUUAGACAUGCAUUUCAUAAGUAUCAGUUACAGGAAUACAAUCAAGCAAGGUUAUUGAGAAUUCCGUCCAAACAUAGCCAAAGAACGAAUUUUGGUCCAAUCGAGACCUUAAUCGAAGAUAUCUUGAGCUCUGCACGAGCUCUGCAGCUUGUUUUGAUCGACGAAUCGUUUAAGAUUGUAUCUAUUGAUGAUUCGUCGAGUAAGGAGAUUGAAGAUAUGAUGAGGGAUCCUCGUUUUUGGAAUGAAUUAGAAGCUGUUCAUUCGUUGUUCAACUUGAUAAAGGGAAUGGCUCGUGAAAUCGAAAGAGAUAAGCCUUUGGUUGGACAAUGUCUUCCUCUUUGGGAUGAAUUGAGAAGGAAAGUUAAGGAUUGGUGUUUGAAAUUCAACAUUGUUGAAACAACAUUGAUCGAGAAGAUAAUUGAACGACGAUUCAAGAAGAAUUAUCAUCCGGCUUGGGCUGCAGCGUUCAUACUCGAUCCACUUUACUUAAUUCGCGAUUCUAGUGGGAAAUACAUGCCUCCUUUCAAAUGCUUGACAUCAGAGCAAGAGAAAGACGUCGAUAAGAUCAUAACUAGGCUUGUUUCCAGAGAGGAAGCUCAUAUAGUUUUAAUGGAGCUUAUGAAAUGGAGAAGUGAAGGACUUGAUCCUGUUUAUGCUCAAGCUGUGCAGAUGAAAGUGAGGGAUUCAAAUACGGGGAAGAUGAAGAUUGCGAAUCCGCAGAGUAGUAGACUUGUUUGGGAAACUCAUUUAACUCAGUUUAAAUCGUUAGGGAAAGUCGCGGUUAGGAUUAUAUUUCUUCAUUCGACUUCUUGCGGAUUUAAGUGUAAUUUGUCAUUGUUGAGAUGGAUUCAUUUGACCUCGGCUAUGGAUAGGGCGCAAAAGAUGAUAUUUAUCGCUGCUCAUUCGAAACUCGACAACACGAAAGAUGAUGAGGAGAAUGAAAUCGAACUCUUUUCAUUGACCAAUGGAGAUUUAAACCAUGCACGAAUAGGAUGAUGAUGAUCAUCAUGUUAAUGGAAGGUCAGAUGAUCAGAUCAGUUAACAAACAAGCUAGCUUAGAUUCUUUCAUUCAAUAAAUCAUAGAAAUUUGAUGUCAUGAAUGAUGUCGAGAAUGAUGGGACAGAAAGACUCGAGUCUCAAAUGAAUCGGAUUAGUUGAGUUGAUUGAGUGUUAUGGGGUCCUAGGUGGGUAAUUUUAAUGUAAUGUUUGUAAUUUGUAUUGUUUUGUUUAUGGGUUAGAGAGUAUAAUUAAUGUAUGUAUAUAUGAUAAGAUAUGAAAUAAUGAAAGUGACCCAUUUGUUAAUUAUUCCUUGUGUCUGUCUGAGUUUGA